rnacentral:rRNA from 1 species
CAGCCGCCGCGGUAAUACGAAGGGUGCAAGCGUUAAUCGGAAUUACUGGGCGUAAAGCGUGCGUAGGCGGUGAGUUAAGUCUGCUGUGAAAUCCCCGGGCUCAACCUGGGAAUGGCAGUGGAUACUGGCUCGCUAGAGUGUGUCAGAGGAUGGUGGAAUUCCCGGUGUAGCGGUGAAACGCGUAGAGAUCGGGAGGAACAUCAGUGGCGAAGGCGGCCAUCUGGGACAACACUGACGCUGAGGCACGAAAGCGUGGGGAGCAAACAGGAUUAGAUACCCGCGUAGUCCCUGUCUCUUAUAC